UACGAAGGGGGCUAGCGUUGCUCGGAAUCACUGGGCGUAAAGCGCACGUAGGCGGCUUUCUAAGUCAGGGGUGAAAUCCUGGAGCUCAACUCCAGAACUGCCUUUGAUACUGGAGAGCUUGAGUUCGGGAGAGGUGAGUGGAACUGCGAGAGUAGAGCUGAAAUUCGUAGAUAUACGCAAGAACACCAGUGGCGAAGGCGGCUCACUGGCCCGAUACUGACGCUGAGGCACGAAAGCGUGGGGAGCAAACAGG
rnacentral:rRNA from 1 species